UUACAUGGAUCCUUCCCAGAAAAGAUCUUUCAAAUACCCUCUUUACAAAAUCUUGAUUUGUCAUAUAACAAUUUGCUUAGUGGCACUUUACCUCAAUUUCCUUUGAAUGGAUCUUUAAGGAAUAUUCUACUUACUACAACCAACUUUUCAGGUUCAUUACCAGCUUCUAUUGGAAACCUCGCGAUGUUAUCCACGUUGGAUCUGUAUAAUUGCAGAUUCAACGGGCCACUUCCACCCACAAUAGGAAACCUUACGGAACUGGAUGUUGUGGACAUCUCUGAUAACAACUUCACUGGUUCGAUUCCUCUAUUUCACUUGUCCAAGAAACUGACCUACAUAGAUGCUGCUAGUAAUAGUCUUACGGGCUCACUUUCCUCUAUGCAUUUUCAAGGCCUUUCAAAUCUUGCUUCUAUUAGUUUAGGCAACAAUUUACUUGGUGGCAGCAUUCCAUCUAAUUUGUUUGCUCUCCCAUCCUUGCAAUCGCUCGACCUUUCUAACAAUAAGUUUGAUGGUCCGAUGCAAGAGGUUUCCAACCCGUCAUCCUCUCUGCUCGAAAUAUAUUUAAGCUCCAAUCAUCUUGAAGGACAGAUACCCAAGUUUUUCUCUCAACUUGAUCGAUUGACUGUACUCUCGCUUUCUUCAAUUUUUUUCAACAGCACUGUGCAGCUGGAAAUGUUUCCCUCCAAUUUAUCAAGGCUCGACUUGUCCUUCAAUAAUUUGUCUAUUGUUUCGGAUCAUAGUAAUUCAAGCUUGCCUCUGUUACCUCGGAUCGACACUCUGGGAUUAGCAUCAUGCAAGUUGAAAAGUUUUCCACCGCUAUCCAGGGAAUCAAGAUUAAACGUCUUGGAUCUUUCAUCCAAUCAGCUAAAAGGGCAGAUACCUAAUCGGAUUUGGAAAAUCGGCUACGGUUCACUUAUGCAAGUGAAUCUUUCUUUCAAUAUAUUUGAUGAUUUUCAGAAGCCUUACGAAUUUCCUCCUUAUCUCAGUGUCCUAGACUUGCAUUCCAACCAGCUUCAGGGCGAGUUACCAAUCCCACCUUCGGGCUCUCUCUAUGUGGACUUUUCUUUCAACUAUUUCAGCAAACAUAUCCCAACUGAUAUUGGCAAUCUCAUUCCUAGUGCAAUCUUCUUUUCUGUUUCGAAUAACAAACUCACCGGAGAGAUUCCCACAUCGAUCUGCAAUGCAUCUAAUCUUCAAGUUCUUGAUUUGUCUGGUAAUGCACUGAAUGGUAGUAUUCCAUCUUGUUUAUCAAACAAUAAUUGGGAUUUGGGAGUUUUGAGUCUUGCCAGAAACAACCUCAGUGGCGACAUCCCCGACACGUUUCCAGACAAUUGCAGCCUCAGAACAUUAGACCUUGAGAAUAAUGUUUUGAGAGGGAAGAUUCCAGGAUCUCUCGUCAAUUGCUCGUUUCUAGAAGUUUUGAACAUUGGAAACAAUAGGAUUGAAGACACAUUUCCAUGCAUGCUGACCAAGACGGGACUUCGUGUCCUGAUUCUACGAUCCAAUAAAUUCCACGGAAACCUCUUAUGUUCUUCCGCACCAACACAAGAGUGGCCAAAGCUUCAAAUAAUCGACAUAUCUCACAACGACUUCGACGGUGAUAUCUCUGUAUUGAAUUUCUCUAAUUGGAGGGGAAUGAUAAGUGCCAAUAAUAAUAAUAGUAAUAAUAAUGACCAAAUUCGUUUCUAUUUCUUCACCUUCAAUGAGUUACACUAUCAAGAUGCAGUGGCAGUAACCAUCAAGGGACUGGAAAUGGAACUAACGAAAAUCUUGACAAUCUUCACAUCCAUAGAUUUCUCGAGUAAUAAGUUUCAUGGAGAAAUACCAGAUUCGAUCGGAGAUCUCAAAUCUCUGUAUCUUCUUAACUUAUCUCAUAAUGCAAUCAUGGGUUCUAUCCCUGCAUCAAUAGGGAACUUGAAACAGCUCGGUUCACUGGACCUGUCAUCGAACAAUCUAACGGGGAAUAUUCCAGUUGAGCUUGCUAGCCUCGGUUUCAUCUCAUUCUUGAACCUGUCUUUUAAUGAACUGUUUGGCAAGAUUUCAAAAGGCCCUCAAUUGCAGACAUUCACAGCAGCUUCCUAUGAAGGAAAUGCCGGUCUCUGUGGCUUUCCGGUUACUGAAAGUUGCAGUGAUGGUGAUGUAAGUGGUGCUUCAGUACUGCCAGAAUAUCGAAACGAGUCCGAGAAAGAGAUCGGUUGGGGCUAUGUAUCGGCUGCACUUGGUUUUGCAGUGGGCUUAGCAAGCUUUCUUUGGCUACUCUUACACUGCAAGAGUUGGGGAGAUGUAUAUUUUGAGAAAGUAGACCUAAUUCUUGAAACACUUUUCCCCCACAAACAUGGUACAAGAAAUCACCGACGAAGAGUAAUCAGAAAUCGUGGCUAGUGCGGAUCACGCUUUUCGUUUGCAAUCAUCGAUUUCUUUUUCUUUUUCUUUUUUUAAUGAAAUGUAUUUGUAUUAUCAAUAAGAAAAAUAUUGGCUAUGUUUGGAACCCUUUUGGGGUAUGUUUUUAAAAAAAAAUCUGGAAAAGAGGUUCUUGGAGAAGAAUUUGAAAAUAAAAUAAUGUUUGUGUAUAGGAGUUAAAUCAUUGUUAAAUUAAAGUAGAAUAAUGAUUAACUUAUGAUUAUUUAAAUGAUUAAAUGGUUUUUUAGUAUUGUAUUACAUAAUGAAUGGUAUUUAUAAAAAUAUAUAUUCUUUUGAAACAAUAAUAAUGAUCAUGCACUAUUAUCAUUAUAUGUUAUUUUUACAGUAUUGUGAAUAUUCUUUAAUUUAUAAUUGCAACAUGAAUAAUAAUCAUAAUUUAAACAUUAAUAGUAAAUAUGGCCCACGUAAUAAUGAAAAUCGAAAAAUAAUAUAAUAAUCACGAAAUGAUAAUCAUGAUCACAAGUUUUAGAAAAACAAAAACAUAAAUGAAACAUACCGACAAAAAACAUCUUAAUAAGAUUAACAAGAUAAACUAUAAGCAUACAUUAAAAUUAAUUAGACUUUUUUUUGGACCAAAUAUUGCAUGAAUAAAAUGGGGCCUCGUUAAAACCUUAUUUGGCCAGACAAAGAAAGAAUACCCCUGAUGUUUAGUGAUCAAGAAGCAGAAUAUUGUUCCCACAAGGAAUGUGCAAUUCCAUCCCUAAAUUGUGCUUGAGUUUGAACCAUAGCUUGACUUAGCUUGGAUGACCUUUGUGGUAGAAUGUAUCCACAUCCACGUCUUCCGGUUCAAGUUCCUUGUUGAAAAUUUCAUCAUCACGACUCAACUUUCGCAUAUAAUUGUGUAAUGCACUAAUAAUUACAUCAUUUGACAUGAAUUAGUGUUGGAUUAAUAGAUAAAUAGCAUGCAACGUUUAAAUUGGAACCACUAAUAAUUGAUUAUCCCUUUUGUUUUAAUUAGUUACGACUCGAAAAAUGUGUAGGUUACGCGGGUGGAGUAUGCGGAAUACGACGAGAGUGUGGUUCGCCAUCUCUACCGCCAGCUCAUCACCGCCGGUAUGGGCUUCGGCGCCCAAAGAUGGGUCGCCACCCUCCAACGCCAAUGCGAGUGCCUCGCCAUUCUCAUGUCCUUUGCAGCCCCCGCCCGUGAUCACAACGGCAAAAUUAAAAAAAAAAAAAAAUUAUAAUAAUAAUAAUAAUAAUAAUAAUAAUAAUAAUAAUAAUAAUAAUAAUAAUAAUAAUAAUAAUAAUAAUAAUAAUAAUAAUAAUAAUAAUAAUAAUAAUAAUAAUAAUAAUAAUAAUAAUAAUAAUAAUAAUAAUAAUAAUAGUAAUAAUAAUAAUAAUAACAAUAAUAAUAACAAUAAUAAUAACAAUAAUAAUAAUAAUAAUAAUAAUAAUAAUAAUAANNNNNNNNNNNNNNNNNNNNNNNNNNNNNNNNNNNNNNNNNNNNNNNNNNNNNNNNNNNNNNNNNNNNNNNNNNNNNNNNNNNNNNNNNNNNNNNNNNNNNNNNNNNNNNNNNNNNNNNNNNNNNNNNNNNNNNNNNNNNNNNNNNNNNNNNNNNNNNNNNNNNNNNNNNNNNNNNNNNNNNNNNNNNNNNNNNNNNNNNNNNNNNNNNNNNNNNNNNNNNNNNNNNNNNNNNNNNNNNNNNNNNNNNNNNNNNNNNNNNNNNNNNNNNNNNNNNNNNNNNNNNNNNNNNNNNNNNNNNNNNNNNNNNNNNNNNNNNNNNNNNNNNNNNNNNNNNNNNNNNNNNNNNNNNNNNNNNNNNNNNNNNNNNNNNNNNNNNNNNNNNNNNNNNNNNNNNNNNNNNNNNNNNNNNNNNNNNNNNNNNNNNNNNNNNNNNNNNNNNNNNNNNNNNNNNNNNNNNNNNNNNNNNNNNNNNNNNNNNNNNNNNNNNNNNNNNNNNNNNNNNNNNNNNNNNNNNNNNNNNNNNNNNNNNNNNUAAUAAUAAUAAUAAUAAUAAUAAUAAUAAUAAUAAUAAUAAUAAUAAUAAUAAUAAUAAUAAUAAUAAAGUUUAAAGUUUUGUCUCACUCGAUACACGUGUAUUUUGAAACUCUUUGCAUAUGUUUUAUAUGUAACCAAAUUUGAUUUUUUUUUUAAAUUUGAGUGAAAUUAAUUUUUGAAACGUGUAGCAAUGACGGCCGGUGGGCGGAGGAGCAUGUUGAAGUUAGCCCAACGGAUGACGAACAACUUCUGCGCGGGGGUCUGCGCAUCAACCGUCUACAAAUGGAACAAACUCCACACGGAUAACGUGGAUGAUGAUGUACGGGUCAUGACCCAUCAGAGCGUGGACGACCCGGGCGAGCUGCCGGAUAUUGUUCUCAGUGUCGCCACCUCGGUGUGGCUUCCGGUUUCGCCGCAGAGACUGUUUGACUUCUUACGCAACGAGCAUUUGAGGAGCGAGUGGGAUAUACUCUCCAAUGGUGGGCCAAUGCAAGAGAUGGCUCAUAUUGCUAAAGGGCAAGAUCAUGGCAAUUGUAUUUCUCUACUACGUGCUAGUGUAAUUGGUUCAAGCAAUGACCAAUUGCACUUGCCUGUGAAUCUUGUAGCUUGGCAUUUCCAAUGCCAAAAUUGGAAAACGCUUCUUCAAAAUGCAAAAUAAUGUUCAAUACAAUUCCUUAAGCGUGCAUCUGUAUAAUUAAAUAUCUCAUUUAGUUCAGUCAUUGCUCGACUACCUCUAUUAAAUUCUUCUAUAUGGUGCCUACAACCUCUAUACGGCGCAAGAAAACACAUGUAGUUCAUAUAACCAUCGUCAACAAGGUAAUAUUUUCCUGUGACACUUUAGACUUAGUAUAUGUAUAUAUUUUAAUUCUUGUAUCAUAUAAACGACAUUAUAUUGAAAAUAAAUGAGUACCAUGUGGGGGAAAAGGAAACUUUGGAUCAUUAACAAUGGCAUUACGAAGCACCAGAGCAUCAUUAGCAGUACUUCCCUCCCAUGCGGCAUACACGUAUGUAAACAUGAGAUCAAAAUCACAUAUUACAAGGACAUUAUGCGAUACAUGUGACUUUCUUGAUCUAUAUGCAUUGCGUUUAGAGGCAGGAACCCAUGCUGGCAUUAAUAUUCCAUCAAUUGCACCAAUGACAUCCGGUUAAGUAUGUAUUUAAGGCUUAAAUAAUCAAUAUAAUAAAAUAAUGAUAAAAAUAUAGAGUAAGAGUGACUUACCUUUUCUGCUUCAACUUUCAAAUAAUAAACCGUCUUUAUAUAUUCACGUAUUUCUGAGAAAAGUAGACCAAAUUAUUGGGCUUAAUCCCACUUUGCACCCUUGAAAUAUAACAUUUUAUAUUGACACUUUGCACCCUCGGAAAAUAAUAAUAGCACUUUGCACCCUCAAAACACAAUAAAUUAUUCACAAUGCACCAUGAAUUGGAUAAUAAAGGCAAUUUCAUUUUUCAUUGGUGUUUUUUUUUGGGGAUGCAAAAUAAAAAAAUAAAUUGUUAUUUUAUUGAACCUUCAACAUCGAGCGGACAAAGUGCGAAAAAAUAAAAAUUACACUGGAUUAUUUAAAAAAAAACUAUAUUUUCUUACAAAAAAUAAAUUAAAAUAAGCUUUUAUCACUAAAUUAUUUGAUUGUUGGAUCUUUUAUUGUAACUGGUUGAAAAUAUUAGGUAAAAAUAUUUGGAAGAAAAUAUGGUUUUCAGAUAACUUAAUAACAGAAUAGUUGAAUGAUUUUUUUUUUCGUAAAAUAUUUUAUUUUGAUAAAAAAAUAUAAAUUUUAAAUAUGUUGAUAAAUGUAUUUUUAUUUUUGCAUUUUAUAGUUUCAAAAUGAUUGAUGAAUAAAAAAAAAAAAAAUUGAUAUUUGGCAUCCUAAAAAAUAUCACUAAAAAUAUUAAAUUACAUUUUUUAGCUUUAAAAAUUCAUUUAGAGUGCAUUAUGCAUAAUUUAUUGUGUUUUAAGGGUUCUAUUAAUUUAUUUUGAGGAUGCAAAGUGCCAAAAUGGUAUAUUUAAAGGGUGCAAAGUGGGAUUAAACCAAAUUAUUGUUCCCACAACAUUGAGGAAGUGUGACCAUAAAUCGUGCCUACUGCGGCCAACGCUUUUGGUUUUCCAAUCAUCAAAAUUCAAUUUAUUUAUUUAUUUUUAUUUUCUUAAUGCUUAGAGCAUGUACAUUGGACUCCUUAAAAGCACGUUAAUAUCAGAUUUUUUAGGUUCUCCAAUUUGGAGAGUAAAUAAUGGUGCAGUGGCACUCAAUAGUCCUCAAUAGGCCUAGCUACAUUUGGCCAGCCUUUAAAUGGCUGGCCACAGUUAUUGAACUCUCUAGCAAUAAAAGGUGGAACUCCAUACAUUUUUUACUCUUGUUUAUUCUGUAAAAAGUAUUGGUCAAUUUUUUAAAAUUUGCAAUUUAUUUUUAUUUCUAUUUCAUUUGUCCAUUUUUUACCAAUAUUUUUUUAUAUUAUUUAUCAAUUCUUUUAUUUCUAUUUUUUAACUUAAAUUUAUUCAUAUAUUUAAAUGAUAACUGAAAUGUUAUAAAUUUUAAAUACUAAUUAAUUUUAAAUUUAAUUUUUUUGCUUAUCGAAGCGAAACGAAAAACAAUAUAUUUAACAAAUAAAAUUCAAUCUUAUGUUAUUUGUUUUCUUUAAUUUCAUAUUCUUAAUUAUUUUUUAUAAUAAUUAAGUAUUUCAACAAAUUUUAAUCAAUAAUAAUAAAAUGAAAGUAACGUUAAAUUGAACAUUAAUAAAACCCAUUACAAUAUAAACUACGAUACAAAAUUACAAAAAUAAAGGAAUUACAACUCAAAUAUGAAAAUAAGACAACAUAGAAAAAUAAUAUUAUUUAACCCUCCUCAUCUCCAAAGAUACUCCACAAAUGAUUCGUAAGAUCGGAUCGCAAGACUUCAUUAGUUCCCCGAUUGCGAAUUCGACCAAGACGUGCUGAGAUGUAAGACGCAAGAAUUGAUGGAUUUCGACCAUAUUCGGGAGGAAAAAUAUUUUCUUCAGGUAAAGGUUCCCAUAAGUCGUAUUCAGUUUCCCAUUCAUCUUCUAUAAUCAUAUUAUGAAGGAUACAAGUUUUCAUUAUCUUACAGAGAUCUUCUUUUGACCACUAUCGUACGGGUCCUUGUGUUAUGCCCCACCUGAUUUGUAAAACACCAAAUGCACGUUCUACUAUCUUUACUUAGAAGAUAAGAGGACAACUCCCACUCACACGUAUAAUCUGCCUGACACGGCCAAGAUUUUUCGUUUGUUUCCAUAUACGUUCAUGCAAUCCUCCAGUUUGUUAAUGUAAAUGCAGAACUGAUUCAAAAAAAAAAUUAAAUAAAUAAAUAAAUCAUUUCAAAUAUUCACAACUGUUUUCUUGAUAUACUCUUGUUCCCAAAUAUUCGGUGUAAAUAAUCAGAUGCAACAUCUAACUUCCUGGGUCGAUUGUCUAUGGAUUUUAUUUUGUAUUGAAGUGCCAAAAAAAAAAAAAGUAAAUAAAUCAAACACGUAGAAAUUCAUGGGAUUAGUUCUACGGCCAUGCAUGCAUGCAUGCAUACAACACUCUCCCAAAGCAGUCCACGUGUCUACACAAAACUAUUUUUGCGAAACUCGAACCUUCUCAGAUAAUAAACCGUCUUUACAUUCAUAUAUUUAUCAAGGAAUAAAUUCUCUGGUAAAAUAAAUACCAUGUCAGUAAUUUUGAGUGAAAAAAAUAAUAUGUGUGUGGAAAUUGAGUGGAAUACGUGUGGGGCAAUUUUGAUUGAAAAUGAUGUCCUGUGAGUGUAAUAUUUGUGAUUUUAUAAUCUGUCAUUAUUAUAAACUGUGCAUCAACUCUAAAAAGAUUUUGGUAAUUUCCACGACAAUCAUACUUUACAAAAGUUAAUAGAAAUUUUAAAUGUGCAUACCAACGUUCUAAAUAAUCUUGGCGAAGGUCUGUACAAUCGAAAAAUAAUAUUUAAACAGAAUAAACAGUAAACUAUAAAAAAGAAUAUUUAACUCGACAAUUUACCUCGAAUUUGCCAUUGCGAAUUGUUUUUUUUUUCUUUGAAGUUGCACUCCGCGAUUAAAUUACAUCAAACUCUAUUGUUUUGUCCUUAUAUUUUUAGUCGUCCUCCGUGUUUUUUGGUAAGUUAAUCGACUACAACGACUACGCUUUGGUAGUCGACUAAGUGUUAAUCGUCUGUUUGGGUAGUCGAUUAAGGUUAAUCGACUUCAUUUAUUAGUUCAUUUUUGGAUUUUUAUGUAUUGAUUCCGAUAUAUAUAUAUAAAUCAAUUAUAAUUUAUGUAUAUUAUUUGUUUUGUAAAAAAAAUGUUGAUUUUCGCUUUUAUGUAGUUGUGUUUUUUUAUUUUUAGUACUAGUCAGUUCCUUAAUCGACUACGAUGCUUCAUAGUCGAUUAUAUAUACCUAAUAGAGAAAAAAAAAAGUUAAAAAACGAAGAAAAAAUUUUUAAAAAAAUACUAAUGAUAUGGCAGUGGCAUAAUUCGAAGAAUAACAUACUUAAAUUAGGAGAGAGUUUUUUCUCAAAUGGUGCAAAAUAGUUUGAUUGUCUUAAUUCCCAUUAAAAGAAGUAUUGAAUGGUGUAUUAAAAGAACACAUAUAUUAUAAUGCUUUUGGGUAGAAAAUAUGGUGCUCAGUCUUGAGAGUCAUUUGUCCACAGUGAUAUAUUUUAUUUAAUUUUAGUUGGAGUUCAACACGGCAUUUUAAAAUAAUAUAAAUGAAAAGUUGUUAGUAGAUGAAGAUGGGUGUGGGUUUCCUAGUUUGAAUGCAAUGAUUUAUUUUAGUUUUUAAACUCUUUUUAUGGGUCUUGGUCGUGUCUCAAUGGAGACCGGGACCGCUAUUUAACCGGCCCAAUUCUUCUUAAAUAUGCAAUUAUAUUUUUUUUUUUUUUUUUUUUUUUUUUUUUUUUUUUGAUCGGUAAAUGUGAAAUAUAUAGAUCAAAACGGACUUUACAAAUACACUGUGCAUACCCAGGCAGUGUAAUCAAAAAAAUAUAUAUCAAUGCCUAUACAUGAACAAGACCCCACAGGUCAAGUGCAAACCAAAGAUCAAAAAGGGUCAAGUGCAAACCAAAGAUCAAAAAACAAUCAGGGAUGCACGAUUUGCAAAGCUGAUUGCGGAAACAAGGCAAAAACCGUCUUGUAAACGAGUAUCUUGAUCUUACGCACCAUCUCAGUAAUCCUAGGCGUCUCGUUCUCAAAAAUUUUCCGAUUGCGAGCACUCCAAAUCUGAUAAACGGUGCAAGCAAGGGCCACCUUCUUCGCUUUUUGCCGCCAACAUGAGCCACGAGCCUCCUUCUUCAGCCAUUUCAAAGCACUCUUGAGCGUAGUUGCAGCCCGAGGGAAGCCCAUCCAUUCCCGAAUAUGCAAUUAUAUUUCUCCUUAUUACUCGGGGAGAUUAAAAAAAAAAAAAAAAAACAUUGUCUGACAUCUUUUUUCAUUCUCUUCGAAAUGGGCAUCAUCUUGUUUCUUAUUUUACUCUCAGUAACUAAUAUAUCUCAAAUAUCUAGCCAAUGCCUUGAGGAUCAAAAAUCUCUGUUAGUGGGGCUGAAGAGCAACUUAAUAUUCUAUUCCUCAUCUUCAAAAAAACUGGUCAAAUGGAACCAGUCCAUGGAUUGCUGCCGUUGGAAUGGAGUAGAAUGUGAUCAGUCUACGACUCGACGAAGAGUCGAUCUCUGGCGGAAUUGAAGAUUCGGAGUAUCUCUUCGGGCUAACUUAUCUCAAAAAGCUAAAUUUGGCAUACAACAACUUCGGCAGAACUGAAAUUCCUAAGGGGAUUCACAAUCUUACACAGUUGACGCACCUGAAUUUGUCUAAUGUUGGUUUUACAGGACAAGUUUCCGUUGAGAUUUUGGGAUUGAGGAAGUUGCAUAGUCUUGUUCUCUCCUCUUCGGAUUGGGCCAAUCCACCAAUGAAACUCGAGAAUCCAGAUUUGAAGAUGCUUGUUCAGAAUCUUACAGGACUGAGAGAACUUAAUCUCGACUCGGUUGAUAUUUCCGCUGAGGGGAGUGAUUGGUGCCAGGUUAUAUCUUCCUCUUUACCUGAUUUAAGAAUUUUGAGCUUGCGCAAUUGCGAUUUAUCGGGGCCUAUAGAUUCGUCCCUUGCUAAGCUUCGUUCUCUCUCAGUUCUCCGCCUUGAUGGUAACAGUUUAUCUUCUUCAGUUCCUAACAGUUUUGCAAAUUUCUCCAAACUGAAAUCCUUGAGUCUAUUCCGUUGCUCUUUACAUGGAUUCUUCCCACAAAAAGUCUUUCAAAUACCCUCUUUACAAAAUCUUGAUUUAUCAAACAAUGAGUUUCUUAGUGGCACUUUACCUCAAUUUCCUUUGAAUGGGUCUUUAAGGGAUAUUAUACUUAGUGAAACCAACUUUUCAGGUUCAUUACCAGCUUCUAUUGGAAACCUCGUGAUGUUAUCCAUGUUGGAUUUGUCUAAUUGCAGAUUCAACGGGACACUUCCACCCACAAUAGGAAACCUUACGGAACUGGAUCAUGUAGGCAUCUCUG
rnacentral:lncRNA from 1 species